AGUUCUUCAUUCGAUAAGCUCUCACCGGAAAGGCUUGGGAUCUCGUUAUUGAACAAAGGACCACUUUCACGAGGAAGAAAGACUUUGGGAAAGAAGAACGCUAACUAAAAUGGUCACACACUCAGAUGACACUCCAUGGACUGCAGCCACCGGACACCAAGAUGUUCAAUGACCGCAGUAAUUUCGAUGAACUUAAUCAGAUGGCUGAAGAGGCAAAGAGACGGGCCGGAAUUGCAAGGUAUGCAUCCAUUAAGUUCAACUUUACUUUAAAAUCAUCACUGUUGAUAAAUCCAGAGCUUGAAACUUGAAUUUAGUUCAGUUAGUUCAUAUUGUAGGUGUAACUGACGACAAUGUCUGAUCAAUGCUAAGCAUUUGCUUUUUCUGCUUGCAGGUUGAGAGAAUGAUUACGCUAAAAGGACAUGUCGAAUCAGAUAAUCGGUAGUUAGACUGAAGGGUCUCGACAUAGACACAAUUCAGCAAGCAUAUACUGUCUGAGAAAAGGCAUCAAACAAUUUGAUUCUACAUGUAUCGUGCAUAUACUGCUGGGAUUGCUACUGCAGA